ensembl:lncRNA
AUGACCAAAAUCCAAUUACUGUCUGUUUCAUGCAUGGAUUUUCUUCAGCCAAACCCAUGUCUAGGGCAUGGCAGGCCAAAGAAAGGCGAAUCUGGACUUCAUUUCUGUCCUGAAUGGGGCAUUGUAUAUAACAACCUAAUAGGCGUUUCAUGCCCAAAAGACUCACACAGUCCCAUCCAUCGAUUAUUUACAGGCAGGCUUUUUGCAGUGAUGCCACCACAGCUGCAAGACUUCUAUCCUAAGAGAGAUAAAGGAAUGGCAAAGGACAGCAAGCAAAUGAUUCCGGCUGGUGCUUUUACAGGACCUACACAGUUGCUACUCAAGAGAUUUCUCUCAAAGAGAUCUCAGCGUGGGCUGAUUUCCAUCAAACAAUUUAUCCUACUAAGAGCUUAUCCAAGUCCACACACCCAAUGAUAUCCAGAAACUCCUUCUACUCAUAUGACAGACUGAUUUUUCAUGUGGUGCAACAAAUUCCUGAAAACAUACAGCAGACUGGAAAUCAUCCUAACUAAACUGCUGCUUCUCGGAAUGACACGUACUGACUGACUGAAUUAUGAAGGCCUGAAAAUAUACAACCACAUUUUGUAACAUGUUGUCCCAAAACCAUUUCUCCAACGAUUUUUACUCUCCUCAAACUGAUAUCACAUAUUCAUUUUAUCUUGGGUUGAAAACGGAGCAAUAUAAUGAACCAUGGAAGCACAGGCACUGUGCAUGCAGAGUUACUAAGAGGUUGAAGCCAAGACAAUGAAAAGAAGAAGCAUCACAAUGAACUUUGAGGCUGAUCUUGAAAAUCUGACAACUAUUACUGCUUUUUCGCACAAUUUAAAAAGAAAUUAAUUGGGUUUACAUCUAAUGAAUUCACUUCUGAGAGCAAAAGUAAGAUCACUUGAGUCAUUAGGAGUAAAAUUCCCAUUAUUUUAUGAUUUUCUCUACUCAUAGAUGGAUUCAUGCCCAGCUUCUCUUAUCUAUUAGUUGGUUGUCUGAGUUGCAAAUAAUGCCAUGGAAAGAUAGGCAAUGAAUCCCAGUCAUUAUGGAUUCUUUAGAGGCAUCUUUGAGUCACAUCUCUUCACUGAUUCUCUUUACAGACAUGACCUUGUUGAUUCUGGUGCUCAACUAAUUCCAUGUGUUAGUGCAGAAGCACUGCUGGGUGAAAGCUGUGCUCUCACAGGAUAGUACUGGCCUAUGGUCCAGUUGUGCAAGAGUCAGUUCACAUCCAUGUGUUUCCUUUUUCAUCUUUUAAUGUCCUUGACAUUCAUUACCCUUCAGCCGUCUCUCUGGCUGCAAAUGAAAUAGAAUAGAGUUUUAUUGACUGAAGUUCAUUGUUUUCUUUUCCCUAAAGAACUAAAGCAUAAAAGAUUCAUCAAAGCAUGGCUAUGCUUGUUUUACCCAAUAUCAGAUCACAAACAACACAUCUGUAAGUGCUAGUGUCAGACUACCAACAUCAAACACUUGGCACACUUGCUAUAACUUGCCUUUGAAAGCACUGUGCAAGAAUUGAAGGUUUCCAAUGCCUCUUUUGGAAGAAAGUCAUCUCUUGAAACAUGUUCACUUAAGGAUUGUUCCCCAAAUGUAGGGAAGAAAAACUUGAUUUAUAAUUUAUUCACAAAAAAUGUUCAGAUUUCUAAACAUUAAGGUAUUUAGGCGGGUGUCAUUUUGGUGUGCUCUGAAGAGAUGAAAGACUUACACUUGCCUAGAUGAAGCACUAUCCAUCUUCAGCUGUGCCUGGUAAUGGUAUAAACAUAUCUGUGCUUAUAUGUAUACAUUUACACUUGUAUAGAUGAUUUUAGCCAGAGAAAGAAUUACACAUGCAUAAAAAAAAACCCAACUUGUUAUUAAUAUACAUUUUUAUCUCUCUCCAAACCAGCAUUAUGCCAGCAUAUAUACAUUGGAAAAAUAAUAACAUUCUUAAGCAAUCCCAGUCUCAUGAUUAUAAGCAUUGCCUGUUUCCUUUGGUGAGUAUUCAAGCAAAUUUUAAUCUCUCCUUUUAUUUCAAGGAUGAAACAUAAAAAGCGUAUUGCUCUCUGUUUUCUGCAGAAAACAAUGUAUGGUAUGAUCCAUUUAAUGCCUUCUAAUAACAUUACAUGAACAAAAAGAAGUUGGAUUUGGCAUGUGACACACUCAGCUUUUCAUUGUAUCAAAUCUUCCAUUAUUUUUAACAGUAAGCUGAUGUUGCAGCCCUUGCCUAAAGUCAAAUAAUCUUUUAAAAUCAUGUACCAUUUCAAACAGAUAUCCACAGCAGGAUCUGGUUUAUUUUGCUACAUUUGUUGUGCUUUAGAAGCUGAGAAAAGUCUUCAUCAAAUGCAAGCCAGCAAGAGAGUUCCCAUAGAACUUCAGAUGUGUUGGCAGCUAUUCUACAGGGCAGGUGCAAGCAGGUGUGCAUUGUCAGGUGACUUUCCAGGGCAGAGCAGUCAGAAAGGCCCAUUCACCUUUCCUUGCUUUUUCCAUCCUCAGAAAUAUCUUUGCAUAUUAAGAUGUCUCCUAAAUCAUUUUUUUGCUGAUUGUAAGAACUGCUUAAAUUACUAAACAAUAAAGCAUGAGCAUAAUGAUCA